rnacentral:lncRNA from 1 species
AUAAAACUAUCUUUCUCAAAGCGGUAUACUUUAAUAGUUAUCUUCUUAAAUAAAUUUAGUUUUCAAAACUAGUAACUAACGUGAUCGUGUCAAUUUUUAUCGAUUAGAUAAUUUCAUGUGUAAAACAAAAUUUUUGAUCAACGACAUAAAAAAAAAAAACACAUACGUAAAGGUUUUGAUCUUAUUGCAUCUUAUAGAGGUUUUGAUUAAAGGAAGCAAAUCUGG